rnacentral:antisense_RNA from 1 species
CGGUACCCGGUCGUGAGGAGUUUGUUCAUGG